rnacentral:rRNA from 1 species
UUUCGAAUCAUUCACAAUGGGCGAAAGCCUGAUGGUGCGACGCCGCGUGAGGGAUGAAGGCCUUCGGGUUGUAAACCUCUGUCACCGGGGAAGAAACGCUUCAAGUUAACAGCUUGAAGCCUGACUUAACCCGGAGAGGAAGCAGUGGCUAACUCUGUGCCAGCAGCCGCGGUAAUACAGAGACUGCAAGCGUUAUUCGGAUUCACUGGGCGUAAAGGGUGCGCAGGCGGUUGGGUGUGUCAGAUGUGAAAUCCCGAGGCUUAACCUCGGAACUGCGUCUGAAACUACUCGACUAGAGUACUGGAGAGGGUAACGGAAUUCACGGUGUAGCAGUGAAAUGCGUAGAUAUCGUGAGGAACACCAGAGGCGAAGGCGGUUACCUGGACAGUUACUGACGCUCAGGCACGAAAGCAUGGGGAGCAAAAGGGAUUAGAUACCCUCGUAGUCCCUGAGCGGGCUGGCAAGGCGCAU